rnacentral:misc_RNA from 1 species
AACCAUUCUCACCUGCGGCUAGACCUGCGGAAGGAUCAUUACCGAGUUAUACAACUCAUCAACCCUGUGAACAUACCUAAAACGUUGCCUCGGCGGGAACAGACGGCCCCGUAACACGGGCCGCCCCCGCCAGAGGACCCCCUAACUCUGUUUCUAUAAUGUUUUUUCUGAGUAAACAAGCAAAUAAAUCAAAACUUUUAGCAAUGGAUCU